UUGGUGACCAGCGGAGGGAUCAUUACCGAGUUUACAACUCCCAAACCCAAUGUGAACGUUACCAAACUGUUGCCUCGGCGGGAUCUCUGCCCCGGGUGCGUCGCAGCCCCGGACCAAGGCGCCCGCCGGAGGACCAACCAAAACUCUUAUUGUAUACCCCCUCGCGGGUUUUUUUAUAAUCUGAGCCUUCUCGGCGCCUCUCGUAGGCGUUUCGAAAAUGAAUCAAAACUUUCAACAACGGAUCUCUUGGUUCUGGCAUCGAUGAAGAACGCAGCGAAAUGCGAUAAGUAAUGUGAAUUGCAGAAUUCAGUGAAUCAUCGAAUCUUUGAACGCACAUUGCGCCCGCCAGUAUUCUGGCGGGCAUGCCUGUCCGAGCGUCAUUUCAACCCUCGAACCCCUCCGGGGGGUCGGCGUUGGGGAUCGGCCCUGCCUUGGCGGUGGCCGUCUCCGAAAUACAGUGGCGGUCUCGCCGCAGCCUCUCCUGCGCAGUAGUUUGCACACUCGCAUCGGGAGCGCGGCGCGUCCACAGCCGUUAAACACCCAACUUCUGAAAUGUUGACCUCGGAUCAGGUAGGAAUACCCGCUGAACUUAAGCAUAUCAUAA
rnacentral:rRNA from 1 species